UACCAUUUCUCCAAGUGAAGACUCAAAGCAUAGCAUCCAAAUAAAAGGAAGGAUUGUAUACAGCCUUGCUGUGUGGGCAGAAGGCUGGAUGGGCACCAGGUCUGCAUUAAUCUCAGCCUGGGCUAAAUGUCUAUGGGUUGGGACCUCAGCCUUGCCCUUCUAUGUGCUGUUAUCACAUCCCACAGUGCCCUCAAGAAUGAAGCACCCCUGCGGGCAUUCUCCAUGUUCCUCUAAACUAUGCUUGACCGCAAGGCUGAAGCUCAACUCAUCCAGCCAGCUCCAGUGUGCCACCUACAAACAACAGGAUAUAGUAGACUUGUAGACAUUUGUAGGCCUUGGUAGUCUGGCCAGGUUCUGGAAUCUGUACUGGUACAUGUGGAAAAACAGCCUCCAGAAAAACAGGGUGAAUGCAGCCUGAUGCCAAGCAGCAGCCAUGAAUUAAGAGAUCCACCCUGAUGCUCUUCAUUGCACAUGCUGAGGACACAAGAGCCAUGCCCAGCCAACUGGCAACUACAUAAGCCUUUACUGUUGCCAGUGCCUGUAUUCUGGGGUGGAUUAUAUGCAGUACAGGAUGAGGGGUAUGAGCCCCUGAGUGCUGUGAGGAUACAGGACUCAGCCGGAACAAGGUAAAGAACAAUAACACAAAAUUUCUCUGCUGACAAGGAUGUGUGAGACUUGGUACUUCUCUCGGUCAGCCAUGCCCAGGAAUAUCUUCUACAGAUUGGACCCCAUAAGUAGCUAAUUUUAGUUGUCUCUUGCUUGCUACAGAUCAAAGCCCUCCUUACUACCAACUAGCCAGUUCUGGCAUCGAUCACCCAAAAAUGGAAUCACAGCUGCCCAGAUUCACUGUCUCACUCUGUCCUCUCCAGAUGUCCCCUAGUAGCUUCCUACCAUCACUUCGGCCUGGUGUUUGAUCCAAUGGUGACUACAUACAAGGAGGUCCCUGUCACAUUCUGUACAUCUUUGUCUUGAUUCUGAAACAAAAAGGCUACAAAUAACAGGAACCCACAGUUUACAAAACCUGAACAGGACCCCACCUUGAUGUCUAUGUUGGAUCAGGAAAUGCUGUCAAGCAUAAUGCAGUGACUGCAGAAGGAGCUUCUAAAAAUGUCCUGGGUGAAUGAGCCUGGCUCUCCAAAUUGUGAGCUCUUCUGCUGUCCUGCUGAUGGACUCAGCCUUUCCUACAGCCUCUAGCUGUUUGUGAGAAAUGGAUGAGCUGGGAGCAAACUCAGAGCUGUCUGGGAGGGAGUCUCUCUGAAGGAACUAUAGGAAAGCUUUUUUGAGUGCUUUCACUUCUUUUUACUGACUGGCUGGGGGAGAUGAGCAAGUCCCCAGGGAUUUUUUCCAAUGGGCACAAAAGCACCUUCCUUGAAUAUGCACCACUCACUCCUUGAAAAGUGUCAGCAAAGGAAAACAUAUAACAAAGUCAGCUCAGGGAGAACAGACAUGUCCUAUCUCCAGUGGAGAAAAAGCAAAAAUCUUAACUCAAACCUCCCAUGUUAAAGCUGAAAUGUGACUUUAGAAACUUUAGUCAUGUAAAGGGAAAUGGAAGUGGUGGACAUGAGAGGCAGUAUGGGAAAGGUAGUUUGUAGUGGCAUGCCAAUAUAGAGAAAGGCAGCUUGGGAAAUGAAGUC